rfam:Streptococcus suis 05ZYH33, complete genome.
AUCUCCUUUAACUAAGUCCAGAGAGGCUAGGAAGGUGUCAUGUAAUAUGCUUGAAAGGUGAUUUUCAAGCUGAAUUCGUGCACAUCCCUGACCGAUUUGGCAGGGAUUUUUGUGU